UGGUUCUAAUAAAUGAAUGAAAUACGCUAGUUACUCUCUUGUUAAUUGCGGUCACCUUUUCUGCAAACAACCUUUAAUAUUUUAGUAACUCCGGCUAUUCAAAAGGAAAUUCAAAAUUAGGUUGCAAAACAACUGCAAUCAGCCCAAUCACUUGCAGCAGCUUUGCAACAAAUGUUUCGUAUCCAACUCGUUGACACACAAAAAAGAAAAAAUGUAGAUGUGCCAAGAUUCGAAGAGGAGUUUCUCAACAAACUUGAAAUACUAGAAAAGUUGAAAGAUGCUGAAAAAAGCAGCAAAGCAAGCUAAAAAACAAGGUUUACGUGCAGCUCUAACUGCUUUGGGAUUCAGAAAUCUACCAACGUCAGUAAACACAGUUCGUAAUUAUGUAGUAGAGUACAGCAAAAAAUUAAGAUUACAUUUAAUUUAGCAAAUUAAAGCACUUAAGAGUACAGAAUUUGGGGUAGGAGAGAAAUUUUCUUUGUCUUUUGACGAAUAGACGUCACUUCGAAAUCGUCGCUAUAUGAAUAUUAACGUUCAUGAAAAAAAUUCUCAGUUUUGAAGUUUGGGUUUAGUGCGAAUAACAGGAUCAAUUCUAGCAGAAACGUGCAUUGAACUAUUAGAAAAAAAACUUAAAGACCAUUGUCUUGAUCUACACGGAGACAUUGUAGCUAUAAUGACCGACGGAGCUAGUGUUAUGAAAAAAGUUGGAAGGUUGCUGGCUACAAAUCAACAAUUAUGUUUUGCCCACGGCAUUCAACUUGCUGUAAUGAUGUUCUUUAAAAAAAAAGAGAACUCGAUGCAAAUCAGCCAGAAUUCGAAAAUGAAUUUUUUGACAGUGAUUCAUCCGAGAAUGAGGAUAUCGAGGAAGAUAUACUGGGCUACAAUCAUGAAACUUUAAGAUCUAAAAUUGAACUAAAUAAAGUUCAUUAUGGACCAGUCAUUUAAAAAGUAUGCAAGUUGAUAAUAAUAUUUAGACGAUCACCUACCAAGAACGACAUCUUACAAAAAUAUAUUAAGGCUGAAUUUGGAAAACAACUGUCUUUAAUUAUGGAUUGCAAAACAAGGUGGAGCAGCCUUCUGUUACUGCUUAAACGAUUUUAUGAAGUAAAAAAGUACCUCUAAACGACUCAACAUCAUCACAAGAAUAAAAUAGUUUAUUUUAUUUGAUUGAUUUUUUUAACUGUUA